GUAAGAGUCUCGUCUCUUUUCUCACACUCGCUGUAAUGGAUUUGAUCGUUUUCAUUGCUUUUCCGCUCCUGAUGGAGGUUCAGUCUCACAAAUCUUCUCCUACUGUAAAAGUAUCUCCAGAUGUCAUAAGAGAGACACCAGCAGAUGUUACAGUGAAUCAGUGUUAUUUCAUCACAAACAGAGAAGAGAAGAAUAUAAAAGUCAGUUCAUCAUGUGAGCUGGAUCUCUCUGGUGCUGAAGUGCUCGGAUGGGCAGCUGUAAAAUCACCUGGAUUACUCAACAUUACCUGUUACUACACAAUACAGGGGAUUGAUAAACCAUCGCCUCAUUCUCCUGCCACAGUGACGGUUCAAGUUUUAACAUCAACCAACACCGAACAAACUACUACAACAGCCAUGAAAACCUCAUUACCAGUAAUGUCCACUUCUGAAACCAUAACAUACAGUACAACUGUUUCAACAGAAAUAUCCACUCAAAAACCUUCACAAAUAGACACAUCAGCCUCUGUUCUGCCAGACUCAACCAGAGAGACAGAAACAUCUAGGCCAACUGUUCCUCACACUGUUCACACUCACUCUGAAGAACGACAAACUGGAUGCUAAACAGUCAGGUUUCAGGAGGGGCCAUUCAACUGAGACUGCGCUUCUCUCGGUCACUGAAGCCCUGCGAAUUGCAAAAGCCCAUUCCAAAUCAUCAGUCCUCAUUCUGCUGGACCUAUCUGCCGCUUUUGACACUGUCAAUCAUCAGAUACUCCUGUCCACCCUCUCAUCACUGGGCAUCUCUGGCAUUCCACUUCGCUGGUUUGAAUCCUAUCUCACUGAUGAUCCAACGGUAGCUGCAAGGAUCUCAGGUUGCCUGGCGGACAUCUCGGCAUGGAUGAAAGAACAUCACCUGCAGCUCAACCUGGCAAAGACUGAGCUUCUUGUCCUCCCUGCCACUCCGACUCUACAGCAUGACUUCACGAUCCAAUUCAUUGCUUAAUUUCUGUCUGGACUCAUAGGAUUCAUCUGUCUGUGCUGCUUUACCAGUUCUGCUGAUGUUCUCUCAGAGCUGAACACCUCCUGCCAGCUGGAAACAACAUCUCUAUUAACUUUCUCUGUGUGCUCCUCAAGACAUGAAUGACCUGUUUACUUUCUUCACUUGUUGCACAUUAAAUCUAAUUUCUAUAGUUUUUACACUUUAAUCAGCUAUUUUAAUAUACACAUGAACACAGGUUCUAACAAUAAACUUCAUAUUUUCACUGCAA